CUCCCCGAACCGGCCUCAAUUCCGUAGUGCAUUGCAGUGUAGAACGUUACAAGCACGACUGCAAGCAUUGUGGGAGUGAAGUCGUCCGCGGGACACCAA
rnacentral:pre_miRNA from 1 species